rnacentral:rRNA from 1 species
CCUACGUGUGGCAGCAGUGGGGGAUAUUGCACAAUGGGGGGAACCCUGAUGCAGCGACGCCGCGUGAGCGAUGGAUUACUUCGGUAUGUCAAGCUCUGUCAGCAGGGAAGAAAAUGACGGUACCUGACCAAGAAGCCCCGGCUAAAGACGUUCCAGCAGCCGCGGUAAUACGUAUGGGGCAAGCGUUAUCCGGAUUUACUGGGUGGAAAGGGAGCGUAGGCGGCAGGGCAAGCCUGAUGGGAAAGUCCGGGGCUGAACCCCGGGACGGAAUUGGGAACUGCCCUUCUGGAGUGCCGGAGGGGCAGGCGGAAUUCCUAGUGUAGCGGUGAAAUGCGUAGAUAUUAGGAGGAACACCAGCGGCGAAGGCGGCCUGCUGGACGGUGACUGACGCUGAGGCUCGAAAGCGUGGGGAGCAAACAGGAUUAGAUACCCGAGUAGUC